rnacentral:rRNA from 1 species
UACGUAGGGGGCAAGCGUUGUCCGGAUUUAUUGGGCGUAAAGAGCGUGUAGGCGGCCAGACAGGUCUGCUGUGAAAACUCGAGGCUCAACCUCGAGAUGUCGGCGGAAACCGUUUGGCUAGAGUCCAGAAGAGGAGAGUGGAAUUCCUGGUGUAGCGGUGAAAUGCGCAGAUAUCAGGAAGAACACCUAUGGCGAAGGCAGCUCUCUGGGACGGUACUGACGCUGAGACGCGAAAGCGUGGGGAGCGAACAGG